rnacentral:rRNA from 1 species
UACAGAGGUCUCAAGCGUUGUUCGGAUUCAUUGGGCGUAAAGGGUGCGUAGGCGGCGCGGUAAGUCGGGUGUGAAAUUUCGAGGCUUAACUUCGAAACUGCAUUCGAUACUGCCGUGCUUGAGGACUGGAGAGGAGACUGGAAUUUACGGUGUAGCGGUGAAAUGCGUAGAUAUCGUAAGGAAGACCAGUGGCGAAGGCGGGUCUCUGGACAGUUCCUGACGCUGAGGCACGAAGGUCAGGGGGAGCAAACGGGG